UACACACUAAGCUUGCGACAUUUAAAUUUUUUAAACAAGUUGAACCAAAUGAAUUUGGUCACGUGACUAAGGCGACUUCGUCGGUCACUGUAGGGUUUGUACAACAGGUACGUAUUUUACUAUAUUGUACAUCCUGCUGAAGUGUUUUCUUGUUUAUAGUGAAUCUGUACCACAGACAAGUCUUGCUCAGAUACAUUUCAACCAUGGAUGAGAAAGUGCUGAAGAAGAUGGAUGAGCUGGAGAGAUAUGAGAAGAUAAAAAAGCAGCUUGGAGAGCGAUACGAUCAAUCGAAGGGCGUGACCCCUCUCUUCCGGUAUGGGCAGCUCAAAUCGAUGAUCAAGGCAGCCAUUUUGAAAAUGUCGAAAGAUAACGACGAUGACGGUGACGACGAAGAAAAGGACACAUCAAAACCAGAUCUGAAACAUAUGUCCAAUACACGUCUCACUGAAGACUUCAUCCACAAGAGACGCCAGGUCAAAGUCAUCCUGAAGCUGAAGGACGAGUACGCCUCUUCCAAGAGUCUCGGUGCCUUUGCGAGGUACGGGGAGCUCAAGUCAAUGAUCAAGCGUGUUACCAGGGAUACAUAGGGAUUGUCAGAAACUACUGGCGAGUGAUUACCACAGGGUGUCAAAGGAAGGAAGCACAAGAAUGUUCAGACAUAAACAAUGUGAGACAUAAUCUCUUGCCAAAGUGGUUAUCUACUGGAAUAUUGCUGAGUGUGACCUUAAGCCACACGCACGCACGCACGCACGCACGCAGGAACGAACGAACGAACACAAACGCACGCAAACACUGAAACAUGCGUUCCUCUGUAUCUGUUUAUUAAUGCCUGCAAAAUGAUGAUCAGCAUUAUACGAUUAUGUCUUUUUCUGUUGACUGGGCGUUGUUAAACAAAUGUUUAUUCUUCACCAUUGCUACUAUCAUCGCCAUUACAAUGUUCACCGGACCCGAGAAGAUCAGGGUUAGACUUGCUCUUCAGUAACCCACGCUUGUCGUAAGAGGCGACUAACAGGAUCGGGUGGUCAGGCUCGCUGACUUGGUUGACACAUGUCAUCGUAUCACAAUUGUGUAGAACGAUGGUCAUGCUGUUGAUCACUGGAUUGUCUGGUCCAGACUCGAUUAUUUACAGACCGCCGCCAUAUAACUGGAAUAUUGCUGAGUGCGACGUUAAACAACCAACCAACCAAUGUUCACCGUUCACUUUCAUUAUUACAUUCUAAUGCCUUCAUUAUCACAUUGGUAUUUUAUGUGUACUCAAUAAGAGGAAAGUCAAAAUAUGUUCGACAUAUCAUAUUUAUUGCCGUUAUAAUGCAACUGUUAUUGACCAUGUAUAUGUGUAUGUUAUACUUGCAUUUAUAUCAUAUUCAUACUGCUUAUAGAGAUGCAUGAUGUCGAUUAACGUUUCUGAUCCCCAUAAUUUGGAUUUGAAUUUGAAUACAGGCAAAUAUCCCCGAUAAA